AUUGAACGCUGGCGGUAUGCCUUACACAUGCAAGUCGAACGGUAGAGGGGAAACCCUUGAGAGUGGCGAACGGGUGAGUAAUACAUCGGAACGUGCCCAGUCGUGGGGGAUAACGUAGCGAAAGCUACGCUAAUACCGCAUACGACCCGAGGGUGAAAGCGGGGGACUCGCAAGGGCCGCGCGUGAUUGGAGCGGCCGAUGGCAGAUUAGGUAGUUGGGGGGGUAAAGGCCCACCAAGCCUGCGAUCUGUAGCUGGUCUGAGAGGACGACCAGCCACACUGGGACUGAGACACGGCCCAGACUCCUACGGGAGGCAGCAGUGGGGAAUUUUGGACAAUGGGCGAAAGCCUGAUCCAGCCAUACCGCGUGCGGGAAGAAGGCCUUCGGGUUGUAAACCGCUUUUGUCAGGGAAGAAAUCUUCUGGGUUAAUACCUCGGGAGGAUGACGGUACCUGAAGAAUAAGCACCGGCUAACUACGUGCCAGCCGCCGCGGUAA
rnacentral:rRNA from 1 species